CGGCGUGGAUGAGGCAUGCAAGUCGAACGGAAUUAUGAGCUUGCUUGUAAUUUAGUGGCGAAAGGGUUAGGAAUACAUGAAUAACCUACCUUAAACCUGGGGAUAACGGUUGGAAACAACCGCUAAUACCGAAUGAGGUGCGUGAGAGGGGACUCUCUAGCAUCAAAGUGGGGGACCGCAAGGCCUCACGGUUUAAGAGGGGUUCAUGCGAUAUCAGCUUGUUGGUGUGGUAAUGGCGCACCAAGGCUAAGACGUCUAGGCGGACUGAGAGGUUGACCGCCAACACUGGGACUGA
rnacentral:rRNA from 1 species